GGAUAACCUACCCUUAGGACUGGGAUAACCUUGGGAAACUGAGGCUAAUACCGGAUAGGCAAUUUUUCCUGUAAUGGUUUUUUGUUUAAAUGUUUUUUCGCCUAAGGAUGGGUCUGCGGCCGAUUAGGUAGUUGGUUAGGUAAUGGCUUACCAAGCCGUUGAUCGGUACGGGUUGUGAGAGCAAGAGCCCGGAGAUGGAACCUGAGACAAGGUUCCAGGCCCUACGGGGUGCAGCAGGCGCGAAACCUCCGCAAUGUGAGAAAUCGCGACGGGGGGAUCCCAAGUGCCAUUCUUAACGGGAUGGCUUUUCAUUAGUGUAAAGAGCUUUCGGAAUAAGAGCUGGGCAAGACCGGUGCCAGCCGCCGCGGUAACACCGGCAGCUCUAGUGGUAGCAAUUUUUAUUGGGCCUAAAGCGUCCGUAGCCGGUUUAAUAAGUCUCUGGUGAAAUCCUGUAGCUUAACUGUGGGAAUUGCUGGAGAUACUAUUAGACUUGAGACCGGGAGAGGUUGGAGGUACUCCCAGGGUAGAGGUGAAAUUCUGUAAUCCUGGGAGGACCGCCUGUUGCGAAGGCGUCUAACUGGAACGGUUCUGACGGUGAGGGACGAAAGUUAGGGGCGCGAACCGGAUUAGAUACCCGGGUAGUCCUAACUGUAAACGAUGCGGACUUGGUGUUGGGGUGGCUUUGAGCUGCUCCAGUGCCGAAAGGGAAGCUGUUAAGUCCGCCGCCUGGGAAG
rnacentral:rRNA from 1 species